CCUACGGGUGGGCAGCAGUGGGGAAUAUUGGACAAUGGGGGGAACCCUGAUCCAGCCAUGCCGCGUGUGUGAAGAAGGCCCUCGGGUUGUAAAGCACUUUCAGUGAGGAAGAACGCCUGGUGGUUAAUACCCAUCAGGAAAGACAUCACUCACAGAAGAAGCACCGGCUAACUCCGUGCCAGCAGCCGCGGUAAUACGGAGGGUGCGAGCGUUAAUCGGAAUUACUGGGCGUAAAGCGCGCGUAGGUGGCUUGAUAAGCCGGUUGUGAAAGCCCCGGGCUCAACCUGGGAACGGCAUCCGGAACUGUCAAGCUAGAGUGCAGGAGAGGAAGGUAGAAUUCCCGGUGUAGCGGUGAAAUGCGUAGAGAUCGGGAGGAAUACCAGUGGCGAAGGCGGCCUUCUGGACUGACACUGACACUGAGGUGCGAAAGCGUGGGUAGCAAACAGGAUUAGAUACCCUAGUAGUC
rnacentral:rRNA from 1 species